CAUGCUCAGCCGUCCAGCCGGCUUUGAAAGGGAGUUAGUUUAUUUUAGACUGAGGACCGUGAGCUGUGGACUUGGUCUGUGAGAUAAAACUGAGCAGUCGUCUGAGCUGCCCUAAGUUGAGGCAUAGAUUAAAUACGAUUCCAAUCAAAAUCUCCAAGCGGUGUUUUAAAAUCAAUAUGCUUUGAAGCCUCAUGUGCAGAAAAGGACUUGGCAAGGACUUCAAAGAAGGUUCUUAAAAUUAAGAGCCACGAAGGGAGGGCUGGGGAGAGAGGCGGUACGGGMGGAGCUCGCCGGGGAGGAAAUCAGGAAGCAAAGCUGUUGAAAGCUCCUGCGGCCUCCCGUGCACAGACACCGGCAAGGGGACAGCCAGGGAGGCCAGGAGCAGCCCRGAGGACAAAAACUGUCAACACAGGAUGGAGCCAGCUCCCCCAAAGAGUGUGGAGGAGGAGGCUGUGAAAGCCGGUKGCAAAAUGGAGCCGUCAUUCAGAAGAAAACCCCAGGUCAGAUGUGCACAAGGCCACACACCCAGCAAGCCCCAGAACACCAAGAUCCUGGAAAAUGACAGAGACUAUAAAAGUCAUUCAUGGGAGAAGAACAAAUGGCUAGUAGUUGCAGAGAUGCAGGUGGCACUUGUCUAAGUAACCCAUGACAUGUGGUGUGGAACACUGACCUUGACUCCCUGAGGCCGAGGAGACCUGGGCACACUCACUUUUGCUGCUUGAGGCAUCAUCCGGGGGCCAGUGUGUUCGGAAAGCAAAAUGGUGAUGUGCAGCAAGAACCAGAAAGAUCUA